rnacentral:sRNA from 1 species
CACGGGCCUGGGCAGGGCUGGCAGCACACAGGACAGCCAGGAGGGGUGCCACCCAACCACAUCUCCUUCUCGGCCACAGGCUAGAUGGCAUCUUCCUGGAGCUGGGCAGUGAGGAGCAGAAGAGACUGCCUGCCUUCAACCGCACGUUGGCCCUACUCCGGCAAGUGCUGAAGUCUGAGGACCCCUGCCACCGAGCCCUGGCCUGGUGCUACCUCGGGAUGCUGCUGGAGCGGAAGGACACCUUCUCCACCACCCCCAUGGGCGUCCAUGACUGCGGGUACUCAGGGACCGACCCUCUAGACUGCUUCGGCAAGGUACGUGCCCCCAGCCACACCCACCCUCUAAACUGAGAAGGAGCCUGGCACCCCAGCCUCUCCACCCAGAACCCAGGCUUCUCUAGGUAUCAACCCCCACCGCGUGGCCCACCCAGGAAGUACACUUACUCCAGACCUUGCUCUCCAUCCUCUCUUCAUUCAAAACAAAAGAGACCCUCCCCAUACCCAGUCUGGCUCCAGUCCAUUUCUCCAGCCUUGAAAUAGACCCUUAGACUUUUUCCCUUGAGGCCUUCAUUCACAGUAUUCCCUCUGCCAGGAGUUCCCUACCUCUCCACCCCCAAUGGCACAAUAGA